AAUUCGGGAAUUAUUUGGGCGUAAAGCGCGCGCAGGUGGUUUCUUAAGUCUGAUGUGAAAGCCCACGGCUCAACCGUGGAGGGUCAUUGGAAACUGGGAGACUUGAGUGCAGAAGAGGAAAGUGGAAUUCCAUGUGUAGCGGUGAAAUGCGUAGAGAUAUGGAGGAACACCAGUGGCGAAGGCGACUUUCUGGUCUGUAACUGACACUGAGGCGCGAAAGCGUGGGGAGCAAACAGGAUUAGAUACCCUGGUAGUCCACGCCGUAAACGAUGAGUGCUAAGUGUUAGAGGGUUUCCGCCCUUUAGUGCUGAAGUUAACGCAUUAAGCACUCCGCCUGGGGAGUACGGCCGCAAGGCUGAAACUCAAAGGAAUUGAGGGGGGCCCGCACAAUCGGUGGAGCAUGUGGUUUAAUUCUAAGCAACAAGAAGAACCAUACCAGGUCUUGACAUCCUCGAAGAAACCUAAACAUAAAGCGGCGCCUUAAAAAAAGUUGCAACGAACCGGGGGAAAUAUUUUGGGUG
rnacentral:rRNA from 1 species